rnacentral:lncRNA from 10 species
CCAGCGUGUUAGCAGAGCAAACCAAGCACUGAGCAAACAGCUUAAAAGAAUGUGGCCACCUCCACGUAACCUCAACCGAGGUAUUGAUCCCACCGGAGGAAAGAGAGGGGCCGAGUGGGGAACAGAGAGAUACAAACCCCGGCAGAAUGUAAAUGUUAUCUUUAAGCUGCGGCUGUCACGGCCCUAAUGGGCAUCUGUUUGGAAUUUGUCUUCUUGCAAAUCUUUAAAUCCAGGUCAGGGCCAGGCACAGAAUUUAAUAACAACUUUUCAGAGAGAUCGGGGCUUGGGACUGAUUUCAUUCCCCAUAAGCCCAACUGGGACUCUUCUGUUCUUCUUAAAGGCAGCUGCCUUGCAUGGAAACUUGCUGGGUGCAAGUCCCAAGCUAGAAAGAGAUAAAUCUUCUGAACACUGGUCAUAAGGCUACAGGAGAGAAGAAGGAAAUUCAGAAAUAAAGGUGCUUUCUCUGACCCCUGAGCUGUCCAUACAAGAGAGCUGGUGGAGUGGAAAGAAUCCUGGACUCAGAAUCAAGAAAUCUGGGUCCUGCUGCAGCUGCUGGCUCUGACUGGCUGCCCCUUCUGUCUUCACCUCCCUGACCUUCAACCUCUGUAUCUAUGAACUGAGGGAUGCAGUCCCUGCUGGGCAUAUUCAGGGUCAGGCCAGACAAGCCCAUUCCAAGGUGGGAGCACACUCUGCAGACAGAAAACACUGUCCCAGUUUAAGGAAUCGGGAUAUUUGCUGAGAGACCCUGGGAGAUGCCCCUCCUGAGCCUGAGACCUUCUGACAUCACCAAGUCGCAAUGGAAUGGACCAUGGCUGUGGUUAUCUAUUUUUCUAGGUGGAUAUCCAGUGUCCCCAGUGCCAUUUGUUGAAAAGACUGUUCUUCCCCUAUGGAAUGGUUUUGGAACCCUUGCCAAAAAUCAUUUGACUGUAUAUGUGAAGGUUUGUUUCUGGGCUCACCCUUCUAUUCCAAUAGUCUAUAUGUUUGUCUUUUCGCCAGUGCCACACUGACUUAGUUACUAUAGCUUUGUAUUAAGUUUUUA